rnacentral:rRNA from 1 species
AUUGAACGCUGGCGGGAUGCUUUACACAUGCAAGUCGGACGGCAGCACGGACUUCGGUCUGGUGGCGAGUGGCGAACGGGUGAGUAAUGUAUCGGAACGUGCCCAGUAGCGGGGGAUAACUACGCGAAAGCGUGGCUAAUACCGCAUACGCCCUACGGGGGAAAGCGGGGGACCUUCGGGCCUCGCACUAUUGGAGCGGCCGAUAUCGGAUUAGCUUGUUGGUGAGGUAAUGGCUCACCAAGGCGACGAGCCGUAGCUGGUUUGAGAGGACGACCAGCCACACUGGGACUGAGAGACGGCCCAGACUCCUAGUGGAGGCAGCAGUGGGGAAUUUUGGACAAUGGCGGCAACCCUGAUCCAGCCAUCCCGCGUGUGCGAUGAAGGCCUUCGGGUCGUAAAGCACUUUUGGCAGGGAAGAAAAGGUUCUGGCGAAUAACCGGAACUGCUGACGGUACCUGCAGAAUAAGCACCGGCUAACUACGUGCCAGCCGCCGCCGUAA